CUGCAUUGACCAAGCGAAGCUUCAUCAACUUCAUUCUUCACCACCGAAAAACACACUACUCGAAAUAACACACUACCACAAAGUAGCGAAAUUGCCAUAUGUUACAACAUAUAGCGCCUAAUUAUGAAAAUUUUUUUGCAUUUGUAUUUAAUUGUUUUUAAUAUGACCGAGAUUCCACAUAAAGCAUCAUCGCUAGUAUUUACCUUUUUAUAGAUAACAUGGAAAUCAUAAUCAAGUAAUUGUAAUCUAAUCCGUUUUAGUCUUUCCUGUGCGUGAAGUUUCCGAUUGUCCGAUCUACGAGGACGGUCAAUUUCUUUCUAUGUAUUUUGAAAAAGGUGAUACCAUAUAACAAAUAAUUCUUUUUCAGGGAUUCAUUCAUUUUUUUAUGUGCGUUUAAUGAUCUAGUUACAUAGGAUAUCGGGAAGUCAUUACUUAUUUCUCCUUGAGAGAGGAUAGCAUCAAGAGCUGUUUCGAAAGCAUACGUAGUGACAAUGAAAGAUUUAUGACCGAUAUUGGAGGAUUGCGGUUUCAUUAUUUUUGGGCAGAGAUCGUUAAAUGCUGUUUGGCCUUUGUAUGAAGAGACGCAUUUAAGAUUUUUUUAAUAGCGUUUCAAAGUGGUAGCAAUUUUAUCAAAAUUUUCAAUGAAAGCUCUAUAAUAAUUGCACAAAACUGCAAAGCAUCAUCUAUCGUCGUCUGUGUCUUUGUGGAUAGAAAUUUUUGAUGACUCUGAAGGUAGGUUACAGGAACUGUAAUGUGAUUUGCAAGUAUUUCAGCAAUAUAUCAGAUGAAGCAGAGAUCAACAAGCGUAUGUUGAUGUUUGAUUAAUAGUUGGUUUCUUUAUUUAAAUGAAAGGUUUUAUACAACUCUUAAAGCUGAAAGAAUAACGAUAAAAAUACGAAAAGAAUAAAUGCGAAAGCAAAAAUGUAAACCCGCAUAAUUAGACCCGCUUAAAGAGACAGCUUGACUUGGCGCAUCGAAGCCGAGGUUAGGUAAAACAGUCAACACUCCUCGUCUCGCCUUAGAAGUAUUCACAGGGAAUCCUCCCAAACAAGAAAUAAACGUACGCUGCGUUACAUUAAUGUCUCCACCACAAUGGUGAUUUCUCCACAAUUGAAAUCACCAACACAAUAAGUCACUCCCAAUCUUCAAACACAUUACACUAUUUAAUGCACUUAGACAAUUGCAAGAUGUACGGUAAUCCACAUGGUUAUCUACCAUGUUUUUCUUGGGAAAAAAUAACACGAGCGACGGGAACAAAAGCUACAAAUUGAAUAUUGUCACAUGUGAAAUUAUGCCAGCAGCCUUUUUAGUACUUCGUGCACCUACACUGCACUAAUCAAAACAAACUGAACAAAACUUUGUCAAUAUUGCCAAUGCAAUUAUGUAUAUAGAUAAUAUUCUUAAAAAAGAAAAGGACAUCGAGUACGGGAAGUGCGAAUUUACAUGACUCCUACUUGGAUGAAGAAACGUACCAUCGAUUUUUCAGAGGACUCUAGACGACAUCGUUUGAAAUUACAUUGAGAAGAUAUCCUAAGUCUAUGUAGACGAUAUGAUCAUCUUUGGCAACGACGACGAAACGCAUCCGAAAACAUAGGCAAAAUAUUUCGAAUGCGUUAAUCAGCCAAUGUGAAGGUACAGCUUGCUAAAUGAAUACGCGCAAAUGUGCACAAAGUUGAGGCAAUUAACAACUGCCCAAGCCCAAAAAUGGUGAAGGACUUAAGGUCAUUUCUACACAUAUCAGAUCUUUAGCGCCGCUUUAUCAGUGACUAUGCUAAACUAGCAAAGCCCUUAGCAGGUUUUUCAAAAGAGGAAGGAGGACGAAUGCAAAAACAAUCUUCACCAAGGUAUCAAUAAAACUGGAUGACAAAACAUUAGAGGCGAUUGAUAAAAUAAAGAAAAGAUUAACAUCAGAAAAUGUCAUGCUAGCAUACCCCAACUUCCAAAGGGAAUUUGAUCUGACGACAGCUGCCUCAAAAUACAAAAUGGCAGCUGUGUUAGAACAGGGUGGUAGAGCAAUAACAUUCACCUCCAGAACUUUAAGUAAGCCUGAAAAACAUAAUCUCACAAACGAUAAAGAGAUAUUCGCUAUCAAAUGGACAUUUAAAAGUCUGAGGAACUACAUUUAUGGUGCCGAAAAUCUAAAGAUUUUCACGGACGAUUAGUCUCUGACACGCACUUUAACCACUGGAAAUAUAAACAACAAAAUUAGACGGUGGAAAGCGACGUUAGAAGAAUAUAACCACGAACUGCACUAUAAACAUGGAAGGAGUAACACAGUGGCCGACACGCUGUUCAGACCUCCACAAGGGAUACUAGGAAUAUGACCUGCAGGCGCAACACAACACAGUAAGGAAGCUUCCCCGCGAAGCCUGAUUUAACAUACAAAUGCUCCAAAAAUUCGAUUGAAGGAUCAACUCAUCAUAGAGCCAAGCCAAAUCACAUCAGAUGAAUCAUUUUCCUAACGUACCAUACGCACAUUAUAUUAGAAGCAUUUCUGAAUGCAAUGAGAUUGGAAGAAAUCGACAAGAAAUGUCUAAAUCAAUCAGUCAUAAACCGCAUAAAAACGACUGACCAAAUACUGCGAAAAAUACAAGAGUUAUAUUCCACAAGAAUUCACAAGUUAAAGGCGCUCCAAACACGGAGCAUGGUCAGUGGCGUUAACCAAAACUCAUGGCAGGAACUGGAAAUGAUAAACGAAUAUAACAUAGAAAUGCCGAAGAUUGGAGAAAUCUGCGAUAUUAAAUUUCGCAAACAUAUUGUUCGUGGCAUAUUUGUUAAAAUGGAUUAUGCCAGUUGAUGAUAAGAAGAAUAUACUCAGUAGAGUGAUGAUUUUUAUGAUUUGUUGCUCCUUCGCGCUUUACCAAUGAUGGCCACAGUAUGUGAUAAAAAUAUUGAUGAUACACAAUUCAUUGCAAACUUUGGUAAACUAAGAUUAAUAAUUAGCCAAUUGGAGUGAAAAACAAAAAUUAAAACAAUUAGUUUACUUAACCUUCACAAAUCUACAAGAUUUUGUUUGGGUUCAGCUGUUUAUACAACACAACGCUAACGCAAAACGUGAGCAAUUUUGCUUAUGCCAGUUUUGACACUUUUGAGAAGGCGUUUUUCACACCUAUUGUGCAUACAUAUAGCUAAAAAUCGAAACUCGAAAAUGAAACCAAUUUAAUGCUAUACAUAAUCAAUGCCCUGAUGCUGUAACCAUAUAUGUUGCUGACUGAUGCCAAUGUGCUCUCUGAGAUACGGCAAAUCGAGAGACAAUGAUAUUUUUGUCGCUUGUAUUGGGCGUAAACCAAGAAACCAAGAAAAAUUACCACA